rnacentral:rRNA from 1 species
GAGCGGACCGAAGGGAGCUUGCUCCUUUAGGUUAGCGGCGGACGGGUGAGUAACACGUGGGCAACCUGCCCUGCAGACUGGGAUAACUUCGGGAAACCGGAGCUAAUACCGGAUAACACCGAAAACCGCAUGGUUUUCGGUUGAAAGGCGGCUUUUAGCUGUCACUGCAGGAUGGGCCCGCGGCGCAUUAGCUAGUUGGUGAGGUAACGGCUCACCAAGGCGACGAUGCGUAGCCGACCUGAGAGGGUGACCGGCCACACUGGGACUGAGACACGGCCCAGACUCCUACGGGAGGCAGCAGUAGGGAAUCUUCCGCAAUGGACGAAAGUCUGACGGAGCAACGCCGCGUGAGCGAAGAAGGUCUUCGGAUCGUAAAGCUCUGUUGUCAGGGAAGAACAAGUACCGUUCGAACAGGGCGGUACCUUGACGGUACCUGACGAGGAAGCCACGGCUAACUACGUGCCAGCAGCCGCGGUAAU